UAGGGAAUCUUCCACAAUGGACGCAAGUCUGAUGGAGCAACGCCGCGUGAGUGAAGAAGGUUUUCGGAUCGUAAAGCUCUGUUGUUGGUGAAGAAGGAUAGAGGUAGUAACUGGCCUUUAUUUGACGGUAAUCAACCAGAAAGUCACGGCUAACUACGUGCCAGCAGCCGCGGUAAUACGUAGGUGGCAAGCGUUGUCCGGAUUUAUUGGGCGUAAAGCGAGCGCAGGCGGAAGAAUAAGUCUGAUGUGAAAGCCCUCGGCUUAACCGAGGAAUUGCAUCGGAAACUGUUUUCUUGAGUGCAGAAGAGGAGAGUGGAACUCCAUGUGUAGCGGUGGAAUGCGUAGAUAUAUGGAAGAACACCAGUGGCGAAGGCGGCUCUCUGGUCUGCAACUGACGCUGAGGACUCGAAAGCAUGGGUAGCGAACAGGA
rnacentral:rRNA from 1 species